AUUUAAUUUUGAUUAAUAGCCUCGAGUGUUCCCUUCCAAGAUCGUUAGGGUGAAGAGAUUUUGCAGAGCCGGUCUUCUCCGAUUCUGCAAUGAAGCUGACAUGUUUGAGCAAAGGGAGCGGUCUCCAUUACCCGCCCUGCCACAUGCUCGAGUUUUGCGGGCUUCGUCUCCUCCUCGAGUGCCCCAUUGAUCUCUCAGCCCUUAAUAUCUUCAGCCCGAUCUCAGCUAGCCAUGAGCUUGACCUAUCGGGCUUCAUCAGCGCCGAGCCGUGGUAUAAAACAGCUAAGAACUUGCAUCUAUGGGAUGUGUCCCUCAUCGAUGUCGUUCUCAUCUCCUCGCCCGCUGGGAUGCUUGGGAUGCCAUUUCUUACGCGAAACCCAAGAUUUUCCGCUAAGAUAUAUGCUACGGAGGCGACAAUGAAGAUUGGGCGUUUCAUGAUGGAUGAUCUUAUAUCAAUGCAUUCAGAGUACGUCAUGUUUUAUGGUCAUGAUGAGAAGACCAGUUUUCCAGACUGGAUGGGGUGGGAAGAACUAGGAAGGCUUUCUUUGAAGGCAAAGGAGGUUGUGAUGGGAGAAGAUGGGGAAGAGCUUGGUUGUUGGCUUCCCUUGUACAGUGCAGCAGAUGUUGACAUCUGCAUGGAGAAGAUCCAACCUCUUAAAUAUGCUGAAGAAGCUUGCUAUAACUCUAUAUUAGUGUUGAAAGCGUUUAGUUCAGGUUUGGAUAUUGGAAGCUGUAAUUGGAGAAUAAAUUCUCCAAGAAGGAACUUUGUUUAUCUUUCGACUUCCAUUUUUGAGUCUCCAAUAGCAAUUGAUUUUGAUUAUCGUUCACUUGAGGGAGCCGAUAUACUUUUGUUUUCUGACAUGUCUGCUAUAAAUGAUAUUGAAGAAGAAUGUAAUCUCAUUGGUGGGAGUCAAAGUGAUUUAAAUAAGGAUGAUAAAGAUUUGCAUGUGGGUAAUGCAUCUAUCCCCAGGGCAUGUUUGGCUGAGGAUGAACUUUCUGAAUUUUUGGCGGACAACUGUGAAAUUUUAGAAGAGAAUGACAAAAUGAGUUUUAUAACUUCUUAUAUUGUAGACUCUGUGAGGGAAGGAGGUUCUGUAUUGAUUCCAAUAGGUCAACUUGGAACAGUGCUUCAGCUUUUGGAGCAGAUUUCUGACUUGCUAAAAUCUCUUAGCUUGGAGGUACCUAUAUUUAUAGUCUCCACAACUGCGGAGCAGACACUGGCAUUUACUAAUGCUAUUCCGGAAUGGCUUUGUAAAAAGCGCCAACAAAAGCUAUUCUGCGGUCAACCUUUAUUUGGUCAUGCUGAGCUAAUAACAGAGAAAAAGCUUCAUGUGUUCCCUUUGCUUUACUCGUCAGAUUUACUAUUGGCAUGGCAAGAGCCUUGCAUAGUGUUCGCGCCUCAUUGGUCUCUUAGGCUGGGCCCUGCUAUUCAUCUACUCAGCCGUUGGCAUGCAGAUUCCAGGUGUUUGCUUAUUCUGCAGCAAGGAAUAGAUGCUGAAGUAGCGCUGUUGCCAUUCAAGACUGUUUUGAUGAGGGUUCUCGAAUGUUCAUUUAUUUCUGGGAUUCAGAAGCACAAAAUAUUUCCUCUGCUAAGCUUCCUCCAUCCAAAGCUUGUUCUGUUCCCGGAAGAUUUAAGGCCACUUUGUACCUCUCAACCCAACAUCUCAUUUUCACUCUUAUUUUACUCUGUAAACUCAACUCUACGGGUCCCGAGUCUGCAAAACAAUUUCGAAGGACGUUUAGCAACAGACCUCGUGUUUCAGUUACAACCCAGAAGAUUAUAUUCGAAAGAAAUGGCCAUUGCUAGGCUAAUAGGGAAGCUUGUUCUAAGCAGAGGGAAAUAUCUCUUGGUCUCUCCGAAGAAGCCAAUCUAUCUUCCCAGUUUGAGAAUACUUUUAUGGGGUUCUGUAGAUGCUGCUAGUCUGCUGGUAGCUUUGAAAGAGAAGGGAAUAGAUUGCUCUAUAGAGAAUGAGGUUGCCGGUUCAUAUGACCAUACUCAGUCUGUUCGCAUCAGAGUGUCUGAGAAGGCUGUGAUUGAAACAAACGAGACCAAAACUGUGAUUUGCACAGAAAAUGAGGUAACAGCUGGUCUGAUUCAUGAGGCCCUUGGCAGCAUUUGUGAUGGAAUUUGACCGAUUAGUAAUUGAGGACACAGGUUUUAAAGAUGAUGGAGAAGAUUGAUGUUACUUUCGAUCCUCUGCAUAGAACAGCAUCGGUCUAGCUUUAUGUUCUUAAAAAGGAUGGAGACACCAAGAAAAUUCUUUGUUAAAAAAUGUUCUUAAAAUAAAUUUUAAAUGGGGUUCUGAAUAAGUUCUAACCUCACAUUAAGGGUUUGAACUAUAUUGAAACGAGCGCAUGACUGCAGAGUAUAUAUAAUUGUAAGUCUUCAUGUCCCACUGAGAUAUUUCUUAUGUGAUGCAUGUAAUCACUAAGGA